GAACUCUCAGUUCUGCACCAUGUCUGCCUGGAUGUUGGCAUGCCUCCCUCCUUGAGAUGCUGCGGUGCUCCCACCUUCAUGAUAAUGGAUGGACUGAACCUCUGAACCUAAUUUAUGAUUUGUAGGUUGCCUCGCGCACAGAAGAGCGAGACAGCACAGCAUCCCACAGCCGUGUCCUAGGCAAGACCGGUUCUGUUUGUUCACAGAGAGUGCUACCUAGAUCUCCUCCACUCGCUUUAAAUGUCACCUCACAGUUGCAGCUUAUAAGGAGCUAAGCCCAGAACGACUUGGAUAUUUCAAAGGCUGGAGCCUGAGGUCUACUGCUGGCACUGAGAAGAUGGGUUAGGAGAGGGAAGAUGCCACCACUGUGCAUAUGGUGAAAAUAUCUUGAAAUACGUGUGGAGAUUUUCAUGGCAGAAGUUCAGAAUCCUAGUGGAGUAACAAUUCUGAAGAAAGGAGUCUGCAUACUGGCCUCGAGCACCGUGAUUGCCAAUUUUCUCAUCUUUGGGUGCCCCGAUGUGAAAUGUUCCAGCCAGCAGAUGCGGGAGGAAGUCCUGACCAAGAGUGCUGCCGGGCUCUAAAGGCCGCUCUCCACUUCUUGCUGCUCACCGCACGUUCACGAGUAAGUUGAACCAGUGUAACCGAGCCACAUGCAACAGACAGCCUAGACCGCUUCCCGUUGUCUUUGACAAAAGUCAAUCAUAGGAGCUCAUAGCCACGGAUCUAAUUCUUCAUGAAGGGAAGGGUACCUUUACUACAUUAAGCUGAAAAGGAUUUGAGGAUGGUUAUUUCAGUAUAAUUUAGCACGAUUGAGACUCAAAGACAACGCCUCUGAGUACACAAGUUUAAACAAGUUAUAAUUACUAUGAAAUAAACAGCUUAUGGUGGCUCAGUAACAGGUCACACUGACAUUGAGGGACUCUUGAAUCUGUACGG